AGGGGCAUGGGAGGGGCCGGUGGUGCGGCUUUAGAUGGAGCUGGUACUAAGACCCAGGACUUCUGGGGCUUGAAGACCCUGGGUCUGCGGGAAGCCCCUGCUGAGCGUCCCUCGCCUACCCCGUGGCCAGUGGGACAAACUUAGCCUUCCGUUCUGUUGGUCUGUGAUGACCGUUUCCACGUCCUGCUUUCUGAGAGCAUUUGCCUGGUGUAGACGUCCCCGUUUUCAGCGGUUAUGCGUCCCUCUAGUUUCGGUGAUGCCCUGAGGUUUACUUCCUGCAUUUUUAAGCCCACGUUUCCCCAGCACUCAUGUGUGGCCAGCGUCUGAUUCUUCCUCCAGAGCAAGACAGGGAAGCCACUGCACUUCAGCUGCCUUCACAAGUCUCCUCUGCCACCCCCGCUGAGGCCGUCUGGAAGUUUAAUUCUAGGCUAUUAUUAAAUUUCUAUAAAAUUGUUUCAACUUUACUGAGAUAUAAUUCACAAAUAGGAAUUGUGUAUAGUUAAGGUGUAUGACUUGAUGUUCUGAUACACGCUGUGAAUGAUCACUGCAGUCAAGCUAUUUCACAUGCUCACACCUCACAGUGACUACCAAGUUGGUGAAAAGAGUAACUGCGGUGUUUGCAAUUAGAAGCAAUUAUUUUUGCACCAACCUAAAAUAUUUUCUUUUUUUUUUUUUUUUUGUCGCCCAGCCUGGACUGCCGUGGUGAAAUCUUGGCUCACUGCAGCCUCUGCUUCCCAGGUUCAAUCAAUCUUGCCACCUCAGCCUCCCCAGUAGCUGGGACUAUGGGCACGUGCCACCAUGUCCAGCUAGUUUUUUUUGUUUUUUUUUUUUUUUGUAUUUUUAGUAGAGAUGGGGUUUCGCCAUGUUGCCCAGACUGGUCUUGAACUCCUGGCCUCAAGUGAUCCACCCACCGUCGGCCUCCCAAAGUGCUGGGAUUACAGGCAUGAGCCACCGCACCAGCUUCUUUUAUUUUCUUUGUGUGUGUUGAGAACACUUAAGAUCUAUCCUCUCAGCCCAUGUCCAGCAUCCAGUACAGCAUUGUUAACCAUGGCCACCUAGGACAGCGCUCCCCAGAAACUGAAUUUGCCAGCACCUUGAUCGUGGACUUCCAGCCUCCAGAACAGCGAGAAGAAUCGCUUCUAGGUUUUGACCAGCCGGCCUGUGGCAUUUUGCUACAACAGCCUGGGCAGCCUGCAGUGCUCUGUGCUUUGUUCUCUUUCAUUUUGUUUUGUUUUCUGUAAUUCACCUUUGAGAAACUCGUUCAGGAAGGAUGCAUGGGUGACAUUUUCUGCAUCCUCACAUUUUGUCACUGGGUGUGGCCGGGUCUGUGAGUCUAGACACAAAGCCAGUCACCUGGGGACGCUGCCACCUGAAGGCCUGCGUGGCCGGGUCUGUGACUGUAGACACAAAGCCAGUCACCUGGGGACGCUGCCACCUGAAGGCCUGCGUGGCCGGGUCUGUGACUCUAGACAAAAAGCCAGUCACCUGGGAACUCUGGGACACCCUCUUCUCUCACCCAUUGCUGUGGGGAAGCCUGGGGAUGGGUUUUCUUGUUUUGGUUUUUUAUCAUGUUGGUGUUUUGUUUUGUUUUUUUUUUGAGAUGGAGUUUCCCUCUUGUCUCCCAGGCUAGAGUGCAAUGGCGUGAUCUCGGCUCACUGCAACCUCCGCCUCCUGGGUUCAAGCGAUUCUCCUGCCUCAGCCUCCUGAGUAGCUGGGAUUACAGGCAUGCACCACCACGCCUGGCUAAUUUUUGUAUUUUUAGUAGAGACGGGGUUUCACCAUGUUGGUCAGGCUGGUCCCGAACUCCUGACUUCAGGUGAUCCACGCACCUCGGCCUCCCAAAGUGCUGAGAUUACAAGCAUGAGCCAUCGCACCCAGCCCAUAGUGGUUUUUAAAUCUUUCCUUUUGCCCUCAUUGUUCUAAAAUUUUAUGAAGAUGAAGACAUAUCUCGUGUCUCAUUCACGGAGAGCCGAUUCUGUAACAGCCGCUGCUCUGGGCGCCGGGAGAAACCGUGAGGAGCAGGCAGAGCUUCCGUCGCGGGGCCCACAGGGCCCAGGUGUGCAUUAUUUCCCUCCCAUCAAUCCUGUUCUUCUUCUGAAACUCUCAGUGUGCAGAUGUUGGAAUGUCUGGCUUCGUCCUCCAUUUCCUUUUUUUUUUUUUUCAUACUUUCCCUCUAUCUCGCUCUGCUGUGUACAAAAAAACUUGGGCAUUUUCAAGUACAAAGCAAAGGAAGCAAUAAAGCAUCCCCAGAUAUUUGAGGAAAGCUGACAUCACAAAGUGGAGAAUUCCUUGACUGUGUGUUCCAGGCACAAGUUCGUUCUUCAGCCUUUUCUUCCUGUUAUUCACCCCAUCACUUUUUAAUUUUUUUUGGAUGUCACAUUUUUCAUAUUUAUAUUUUCAGUUCCGUUUUUAAGGCUGUAUCUUCUCUAUGGAUAAAUAAACCUGUGAAGACGUACUGCCCUUUUCUCGAGGGUGUUGUUUGCUCUGCUUCCUUGAUACCUGCUGACUUUGGGGGCCCCUUUUUGGUAGUGAUUGGUUUUCCUCAAACAUUUGAUGGUUCUGGGUUGUCUAGUGAUUCCAUGAAAAUUGGUUGGCUGCAUAUUUAACCAAUUUUAGGUUAAAAUUGGUUGGCACCCAAAAUAACAGUGGCUUUAACACACAGUAUUCCCUUCUCACAUAAGAAAGGACUCUGGAGGGCGGGGCCCUAAAGAGCCUGUCACCUCCCACUCCACCACACCCGGCGGGUGCCUCAUCCUCAUGGCCCCAGAAGGC
rnacentral:lncRNA from 10 species